GACAGAGUGGUGGAAUGGUUUGAACUUUAGACUGUGACUCUGUAGACCAGAGUUCAAAUCCUGGCUUGGCCA